CAGUCAGUUUUGUCAAAAUUGACAACUUUAUAAUUACUGGCGUUGAGGCUGAUUAAAGAUGUCAUAACAGGUUUGACAAGUUUUGACAAAGAAAUCUCCAGUGAGGAUUGGAAGCUGACGUUUGCCACAGCGAUUGAAAAGCAAAAUGAUAAACGAAACAGGACUCCAAGAAUUUCACUCCUCGGUUCCCGAGGAUGGUUUACCGCCCCAAAUCAUCCCCCGAACAUGAAGAAACACUUGGCCUCAAUGAAUUUCAAUACGGCGGCUCUUCCCAGCAAAAACUUUGUUAUGACGCCUUGCUAAACGUCGGCGAACGUUUGACGGAAACCGACUGACAUCGAACUGCAAUAUGAGGUUUACUGUAGAAGCAAGACCAGAACGUCGUGCUAAGAGUCUCUAUUAAACUCGAAAAGACAACCGUCCGGCUUAUUUAACCCUGGAAAGAUAUGUAUGUGUAACUUGAUUAUCUUGUAUACUCUUAUUUCGAUACUCAAAAAAGUAGAUAGCUUAAAUUUUACACAGUUAUUAAUUUUCCAGGUAGCUUGCUGCUAAAUAUCAUCAUAGCAUAACUUUCCCCAUGUUUGCGAACAACCUUC